rnacentral:rRNA from 1 species
GCAAGUCGAGCGAGAAAUUUAUGAACGAAACUUCGGUCUAGUGAGUAAAUGGAAAGCGGCGGACGGGUGAGUAACGCGUAGGCAACCUGCUCCUUACAGAGGUAUAGCCUCGGGAAACUGGGAUUAAAACCGCAUAACGCAUUUUAAACACAUGUUUGAAAUGCCAAAGAUUUAUCGGUAAGGGAGGAGCCUGCGUCUGAUUAGCUAGUUGGUAAGGUAACGGCUUACCAAGGCGACGAUCAGUAGCCGACCUGAGAGGGUAAUC